rnacentral:rRNA from 1 species
CCAAUAGCGUAUAUUAAAGUUGUUGCAGUUAAAAAGCUCGUAGUUGAAUUUCUGGCGGGCGCGCCGGUCUUCCAAGUGUUGUACUGGGCGCAGUCCGCCAUCCUUGUGGAGAGGGCUCGCAUUGAGUUGCGUGUCGGAUCUGCAUCAUUUACUGUGAAAAAAUUAGAGUGUUUAAAGCAGGCUGUCGCUUGAAUACAUUAGCAUGGAAUAAUAAGAUAGGACUUCGGUCUAUUUUGUUGGUUGCGAACCGAGGUAAUGAUUAAUAGGGAUAGUUGGGGGUAUUCAUAUUUAAUUGUCAGAGGUGAAAUUCUUGGAUUUAUGAAAGAUGAACAACUGCGAAAGCAUUUACCAAGGAUGUUUUCAUUAA